UAAUAGAAUAUAAUUUUAUUUUUAUAUUUCAAUAUCACAAUAAUCUUCCAAUUUAGAACUACAAGUUAAAAAAAGAACUAACAUAAAUAAAAUACACUUCAGCUAAAUACUUCUAAUUUAUUUUCCAAAACCACGCGGAGCCGCAGGACUAAAGAGUCGCAUGCGGCUCCGGAGCCGCAGGUUGCCGACCCCUGAUCUAGACAUUGGUGACUAUCACUUCACAUUACAUUUGCUUUACAACAUUAAACUCCGAGGAUACAAACAGACGAUUAGUAAACUACAUUUCAGAUUAGUGUUAGACAAAUAUGAAGGUGGUGGACGAAUCAUACUGCAGAACUCAUACUGUCAUAACAUACUACACCCAUUAUGUUUUCAAUGGCACUGAGAUAAAACAACUGAAUACCUUAAAAAAAAAAAAAUGGUAUUGCAUUGUUAGAUGAAACACAAACAAUGUGCCGAAUGAUAGCAGUAGAUAUGCUUUCUGUAAAGUACUUUAAAAAAAAUACAAAAAGCAUUAAAAACUUUGCUAGAAAAUCCAGUUAAAAAAGCCAAAACAAACCAUGUUUUGAUAUCAUAGUUAUAAAAACUCACGUUAAAAUACAAAAUGUCAAAAAUGUUUUCUUUAAAUGUCUGUUUCAACAAAAAUUACUCAAAAAGAAGACACAGUCAUCUGUUUGGAACUAGUUUAGGUGCAGAUUAAUAUGCAUUAGGUGCACUGCUGAAUAUAUCCAUCAGAAGGAAGAUGUGCAUUCGACUGACUGAGAAUAAAACCAGUGUGUGUGCUCACCACAAUAAAAGACUGUGUCAGGUUGUGUUUAUAACAGUAUUUGUCAAACAGCAACGGAGCUCGGUGGCACACAGAGGAAUAAUGGAUCAAACAGAUUAGGUUUUAGCUAAACAGUUCAUUGAUUAUCUUUUCAUGUACUUUCUUUGCAGCUAGAUUGAUUGAAGUGUCGCCUUUCUUGUCCUUCUGAUGUUUCAUCCACAGCUUGACAGCCUUACAAGACCGUCGUCAUACCCCUAAAAAGUCCUUGUAAUAAGACAGAUGUGUGAAUGCUAAUGAGACAAGUCCCUUAAAGUGAUUAGCAGCAGAGUCUGCAGUUUGAUCCUGAAUCCGUU
ensembl:lncRNA